UACGUAGGGUGCAAGCGUUAAUCGGAAUUACUGGGCGUAAAGCGUGCGCUGGCGGUUAUAUAAGACAGAUGUGAAAUCCCCGGGCUCAACCUGGGAACUGCAUUUGUGACUGUAUAGCUAGAGUACGGUAGAGGGGGAUGGAAUUCCGCGUGUAGCAGUGAAAUGCGUAGAUAUGCGGAGGAACACCGAUGGCGAAGGCAAUCCCCUGGACCUGUACUGACGCUCAUGCACGAAAGCGUGGGGAGCAAACAGG
rnacentral:rRNA from 1 species